GAUGAAUGCUGGCGGCGUGCCUAACACAUGCAAGUCGAGCGGCAGCGCGAGUAGUUUACUACUUGGCGGCGAGCGGCGGACGGCUGAGUAACGCGUGGGAACGUGCCCCAAAGUGAGGAAUAACUCCCCGAAAGGGUGGCUAAUGCCGCAUAUGAUCUUCGGAUUAAAGGAUUUAUCCGCUUUGGGAGCGGCCCGCGUUAGAUUAGGUAGUUGGUAGGGUAAUGGCCUACCAAGCCGACGAUCUAUAGCUGGUCUGAGAGGAUGAUCAGCCAGACUGGAACUGAGACACGGUCCAGACUCCUACGGGAGGCAGCAGUGAGGAAUCUUCCACAAUGGGCGAAAGCCUGAUGGAGCAACGCCGCGUGAAGGAUGAAGGCCCUCGGGUUGUAAACUUCUUUUAUAAGUGAAGAAUAUGACGGUAACUUAUGAAUAAGCACCGGCUAACUCCGUGCCAGCAGCCGCAGUAA
rnacentral:rRNA from 1 species